rnacentral:rRNA from 1 species
UACGUAGGGUGCAAGCGUUGUCCGGAAUUUAUUGGGCGUAAAGAGCUCGUAGGCGGUUUGUCGCGUCUGCCGUGAAAGUCCGGGGCUCAACUCCGGAUCUGCGGUGGGUACGGGCAGACUAGAGUGAUGUAGGGGAGACUGGAAUUCCUGGUGUAGCGGUGAAAUGCGCAGAUAUCAGGAGGAACACCGAUGGCGAAGGCAGGUCUCUGGGCAUUAACUGACGCUGAGGAGCGAAAGCAUGGGGAGCGAACAGG